rnacentral:tRNA from 3 species
GCGGAAAUAGCUCAGUUGGUAGAGCACAACCUUGCCAAGGUUGGGGUCGCGAGUUCGAGUCUCGUUUUCCGCUCCU